rnacentral:lncRNA from 1 species
CAAAAUUAGCAAUAUUGCAAGGAAAUACUUUUGAAAGGCAAGAACAAAUUAAUUGUAAAUUUAUGCAAAGAAUAUUUUUUAAUUGAAACAAUUUAAAUGAUAAUGCGAUUGCCAUGAAACGCUUCCCUCUUUGCUUGCAUUUUUUCUAUUUUUGGUCACAUUAACCUACCCCUUGCUUUCGCUGCGUUUUUUUGCAUUUCCAAAGUUUUGGCACGUUUAUUCCAUGUAAGUGGGGUUUAGAGGGAGGCAUAGAUGAUGCAUCUAUUGGUCAACUGGUUUUGGAGGCACAGUUCAUAAAAACAAUAUAUAUCCGAGCUAGCAGGUACAGCUAUGUUAUAUAGCAAUACUGAGAGCCUACAGUGUUUUCUGCUAAUUUGCCACCUAGUGCAUAAAAAAAACGUUUUAAUUUAUUUAACUCUUCCAGCCCACUGGGACUGACUAGCCUAGCUAGUUAACGUUAGCUACCUUUACAACAAGGAGCACAUCAGGAAACACCCUUAGAUGAAAUCCUGCAACUAGUGAGGUCUGGCUGCCUGCUCGACCCCACCACUUCCUCCAGACCAUCUCUGGAGACCUCACUUCCCUCAACUCAUCCCUGACCACUGGCUGCGUCCCCUCCAACUUCAAAAUGGCCCGAUUCGCUCCCCUCAAGAAAGCAACAAACUACAGACCAGUAUUAUUUUCUUUCCAAAACACUUGAGUGUGCUGUCUCUGACAAUCUCUUUCUCUCUCAGAAUGAUCUUCUUGACCCAAACCAGUCAGGCUUCAAGACAGGUCAAUCAACUGAGACUGCUCUUCCAUGUGUCAGAGGAUCUCCACACUGCCAAAGUUGACUCUCUCCUCUGACACUGUGAACCAUCAGAUCCUCCUCUCCACCCUCUCAGAGCUGGGUGUCUCAGGCUCUGCACACUCUUGGACUGCAUCCUACCUGGCAGGCUGCUCCUACCAGAUGUGGAGCGGAUCUGUGUCUGCACCAUGUACCUUCACUACUGGUGUCCCCCAGGGUUUGAAUCUUGGCCGUCUCCUCUCUACAUCUAGUCACUGGGCUCUGUCAUAUCCUCAUAUGGUCUCUCCUAUCAUUGCAAUGCGGAUAACACUCAACUACCUUUGUCUUUCCUCCCUUGUGAGACACAGGUGGAAAAAUGCAUCUCCGGUUGACUGGCAGAUAUCUCAGCUUGGAUGUCGGCCCACCACCUCAAGCUCAGCAAAACGGAACUGCUCUUCUUCCAGGGAAGGCCUUCCCGCUCCAAGACAUCUCCAUAAUGGUUGACAACUCCACGGUGUCCCCCGCCCAGAGUGCAAAGAACCUUGGUGUGACCCAGGACCACACCCUGUUCUCUGAUAACAUCACAGGAAGCUGCGCAGGUCCUAAUCCGGGCACUUGUCUCCCGUCUGAACUAGUGCAACUCGCUGUUGGCUGGGCUCCUCACUUGUGUCAUCAAACCCCUGCAACUUAUCCAGAACGCUGCAGCCCACCUGGUGUUAAACAUUCCCAAGUGCUCCCAUGUCACCCUGCUUGUCUGCACAAUCCACUGACUUCCAGUUGAAGAACAAGGGCACUAGCUACUAGCCCUUAUGACUCCAGUGCUGUAUGGCCUUGGGUUCUUGGGAGCUAGAGCACUACUAUCUGAAAGCUUUUUAUUUAAGUACACUAUGCAGUGUAUGUACUAUAGACAAUUUUUGUUUUGUAUUUGUUUCUUUUUUUGUGGCCAGGCUCUCACACUGGCUGUGUGUCUGUCUUGGCUGCCUGCCUGUCUCUGUUUAGGAGUUCCAGAUGUGGCUGGAAGAGUGGUGACGGACAACAGUCGAGGGCAUCUUCACUCAGUAGUGAGCACGUAGGAGCUCAUCUUCAUGGAGCAGCUGGAGUUCAUCUAUACAAGGGACAGUACCAGAGACUCUAAUGGGGCUGAUUAUCUGUCCGGAUUCUUCACCCUUCCUCCCAAAGUGUGCACUAGUUCAGUGUUCAUCAUUCUUGGCCCUAAAGGGCAGCAGUGUGUAAAUUGUCAUCCCUACCUGUGCUAUAACACCCAAUUGAACUAUAAUAAGACCAUACUUGGGUAAAUCUAAGUGACUUAAUGGUUGGUUGUGGCAACAUGCACUAAACUAUAGCAUACAGUUAUCAUGAACAAUAAAAACAGUCAUUUAAUUAUGACUAGUGCACUUAUUGUUGGUUGUAAAGCUCGCCGCUAUUGGACUCUGGAGCAGUGGAAACAUGUUCUCACACGUCACCAUCUGGCAGUCCGACGGAUGAAUCUGGGUUUUACGGAUGCCAGGAGGACGCUAACAGCCCCAAUGCAUAUUGUCAACUGUAAGGAUUGUAAAAUUGCAUUCUCCAUUAACAGAGGACACUGGCAGUUCGAGGUCCUAUGCUUCGGCCUGUGCAAUGCUCCAGCUACUUUUGAGUGUUUGAUGGACAGGGUGCUGGAUGGCAUUCCCUGACAGUGUCUGGUAUACCUCAACGACAUCAUGGCCCAUGGCAGCUCCUUCCAGUCAGCCCUGCGGGCACUACACAGCGUGAGCUGGAGAGGGUGGCUGCCGCAGGCCUGAAGCUCCACCCAGAGAAGUGCCCCUUCAUGAUGGGAGAGGUGUCCUUCUUGGGCCACUGAGGGUAUCAGCACCAUGGAGGACAAAGUGGGGGCUGUCUGAGACUGGCCCUCCCCCACCAAUCAGCAACAGCUGAAGAGCGUCCUGGGCCUGGCCUCUUACUACAGGAGGUUUGUACGGGGCUUCUCAAGCAUCGCUGCUCCCCUGAACCGCCUGCUGCCGAAGGACAAGGCCUUCACUUAGACAGUGGCGUGCAAGGAGGCCUUCAACACCCUCAAACAUGCACUGAUCAAGGCCCCUGUGCUCGCCCCCCCCAACCUCACCUUGCCCUUUAUCCUGGACACAGAUGUGAGCAGUGGGGCCAGAGGGGGAGAGUGGUGGCGUACUUCAGCAAAACAUUCAACAAACAUAAGUGCCACUACUGUGUCACCCGGCGGGAGCACCUCGCUCUUGUGGCUUCCAUCAAACACUUCAAGUACUACCUGGGUGGCCUGCCCUUUACAGUAAGGACUGACCACUCUCCUCUCCAGUGGCUCAUGUGUUUCAAAGAGCCAGAGGAGAAGAUUGCACGCUGGUUGGAAGAGCUUCAGCCGUACGACUUCAUAGCGGUGCACAAGGCAGGGGAACGCCAUUCCGACACCAUGUCCUGUCGGCCCUGUACUGCAGACGGGUGCAGCCACUGAGUGGAGACUGUGUCAGGCGAGCAGGCUUGUGAGCUGUAGACUGAUGUGGCUGAAUGGGAUCAGCAGCAGGGACUGGACACAGACCUACAGCCAGUAAUGAAGUGGGCAGAAGUGCAGCUGAGGCCACUGUGGGAAGAUGUGGCUGAUGGCGCUCUACAGCUGGCAUGGAAGGAGCCAGCUAUGGGUGAGGAUAGGUGGCAGGUGGUGGUCCCAAAAGCACUGUGGGAUACUGUGCUCCAGGGCACUCAUGGGGGGUGGGGAUUGGACACUUUGGGGUCCCAAAAACACUCCGCUGUCUCCGUUGGAUUUUACUGGGGGCAGCACAUGUGGAGGACUUUGCCGCCGCUGUGACAACUGCACAGCGAGAAAGGGCCCUGCAGGCCGUUCAUAUCAGCUCAACAGUUCCCAGUUGGGGCUCCCAUGGAGCGGGUGGAUGUGGUUGGGCUGUCCCCACCACACAGUGGAAACCACUGGGUGUUCACGGCCAUGGACGAUUUCACAAAAUGGCCCGAGGCCUAUGCUUUGCCUUACCAGGAGGCAGAGACCAUCGUUGAUGAACUAACAGCAGUGAUGUUCAGCAGGUUUGGAACUGCGGAGUCCAUCCACAGCGACCAAGGUAGAAACUGAGUCCCGUGUGUUCGCUACCAUGUGUGAGGCGCUUCAACAAAACGCUUGGACAGCAGCUGGCCAUCGUCUCUGCCAAACACCAGUGUGACUGAGACAAGCACCUGUCCAUGGUCCUCAUGGCAUGCCACUCCACCUCCUGCACGCCUGCCCUCCUGCUGGCGAGAGAGAUCCGCACCUGUGCAGAGAUGGCGUUUGGUCGGCCCCUGUGUAGCCCUCUUGUUCCCCCGGGGCUGGAGUACGCCCGGAGACUCCAGGACCGCCUGGAGACAGCCCAAACCUUAGCCACAGAGCAGCUGGUGACUGCAGGAGUGAGGCAGAAGAGGAACGAUGACGUGCACACCCAGGGAAGGCACUUUGUGGCAGGGGAGCUGGUCUGCGUCUACAGCCUCCUAAGCAAGAAAGGCAGAUUACCCAAGUUGGACAGCCACUGGUUGAGGCCCUGGAGAGGGUAGGGGACUGUACCAGGUGCAGCUUUCUUGCAGGGGGAGAAAGUCGGCACUGCACCGGGACAGGUUAGUCUUCUCCUUGAACCCCCACAACAUUCCCCAAGCACCCACACCCAGGUGCCGCAGACAAGGCUCCAGAAGGCCCACUCACUGUCUUCCUCCCUGUGUCACUGAGUGGUCCCCGGGGCCAUGGAGUGUAUCCCAUUCCCUCAUUCUUGUCCCCCAUGUCCCUGCCUUCAUCCCCUGGGUCCUAGAGGAGCAGCCCCCUACCAGACUGAGCCCCCUGUUCCACAUCUGGACCCUCUGCUCCCAUCGCGGCCACACAGGUAAAGGAGACAUCCGUGGCACUUCAGAGACUGUUUGUUCCCUCAGGGAUGAGGGAAUUUGUGGUGGGGGGGCUGUGUAACGACCCGCACAGACCGCUGUGUGUUAUGAGUUAUGCUGUUCGUUUGUCGUACUUACCAGUACCCAGUGUUUGCAAGGUUGACUGGCAUGUCGGACCCAUCUGCCAACCACGGGAAUGCCUGGAAUGUUCCGGUGCCGGGCAUCCUUGUGGUUGGUGGAGCAGCAGGAGGGAGGGUUUGGCAGCGGGGUGGAGCACUGCAAGUUUAAGACCAUGCUUAGCCAUUGUUUUGUCUUAACAAGAGAUGGUCACUUUUUAUACUGUGAUCCUUGAUUUAUAUGGUGUGGGCUAUGGCUGAACAGUAGCUGGUGUUGGGUUAAUAAACUGGGAAUUUGUA